AUGGCCGUAUGGGAACCCUUAACCCUAUAAAGGCGUGUAUCAAUUUAACUUUUAGUUUUUUUGAACAUGAUUUCUAGCUGAGAGAAGUUCCUUAUGCUUCCAGAACUGUACCACUAACAAUGCCUGUUAAUGUUCAGACAGAGCGCUGCGGCUUUUAACAAAACUCCCCCCUACAGAAGAUGCCUUCGUCCAAUGGCUCUUAUGUGUAAUGGCUCUGGCUCUUAUGUGUAAUGGCUCUGGCUCUUAUGUGUAAUGGCUCUGGCUCUGGCUCUUAUGUGUAAUGGCAUGGCUCUUAUAUGUAAUGGAACUGAGAGUCAUUAUCAAAGGCUAGAUCUGCACCAUCACAUGCUCUGGGGAGCUGUCAAUUGUCCAGGUGCUGAAACACACGCAGGAUUGCCUGUUUUUUUUCGCUAUUCACACAUCGAUUUCAUGAUCUCUAACUGGGCUGUGAGCAACAUUUGAGGCGUAUAGCCCACCACACGAAUAUUCAAAACACUCAAGCACUGUAGUGUUAGUGACAUACUGAGCAUGACUGCUUUUUUUCCAGGUUAAAUUUGAGGAUUGUGAAAUGAUCUGAAAGAAAGGCAGUCAGCAUCCAGGAGAUUGCUGCUCUGGCCAGAUCCUCCUUAAAUGGUAAGGGUCAGAAAGACACACACAGACCAUCUCUCUAACCCAGGCCUCCUACUUUUCUCUCUCCAGGCAUUUCCCAGGCGAUGAAGGACCAUGUGACCAAGCCAACAUCCCUGCAGGGUCAUCCACCUCAAGUGUAAGGGUUGGCCCAAACCCACCGACCCCCUCCGCACACACUGCAACUCUCUACAGGAAGCUCGCUUCGCCGCAGGAGUGGCAGAGCAGUUUGCUAUCGCUGAGGCAAAGCUGAAAACCUGGGCCUCUGUGGCUGAUGAUGAGAAAGACGAUGACUAGGAGUUCCUCCAGAACAAUAGAAACACUCUCUCUCUACCCACAGCUCAGACCGCAACGUCCAAGCACGAGCCCCAUUCCAGGCCGAGACUGACAGCUCUAGCAGAAACAGCCUGCACUGUGAUUGGCCCACAUCUCAGAACAACCCGCCUACUCCAGAGAGUGACCGGGCUUGCCCAUUCCCUAGUGGAUGGUGAGGAUCAGCCUGCACUGCUGCAAGUCUGUAUCGUCUACAAGUCUGACUGGAGGCCAACAAUCAUGAAGCAGUAGGUUUGACUCCUGCUAUUCAACCUUUCACUCGAAGAGGAUAGGAGUGUGUUUCAGGGUAGAGAGUGGCACUCCUGCCAGAGAAGAUUCUUCUCCGACAGAGGCUCGUCAGGCGUGGCUUCGUUCCAUUAAGAAGAUGGAGAGCAUUUAAAUGUGAUGUUUCAUCUUGUUUAGUCUGUCAACUCUUAGAAACACUACCUUCAGAAGUUAUUCACACCCCUUGACUUUUUCCACAUUUUGUUGUGUUACAGCCUGAAUUUAAAGUAGAUUAAAUAGAGAUUGUGUCACUGGCCUACACACAUUG